rnacentral:rRNA from 1 species
CAGGUUUACCUGUGUGACUGCGUACCUUUUGUAUAAUGGGUCAGCGACUUAUAUUCUGUAGCAAGGUUAACCGUAUAGGGGAGCCGUAGGGAAACCGAGUCUUAACCGGGCGUUAAGUUGCAGGGUAUAGACCCGAAACCCGGUGAUCUAGCCAUGGGCAGGUUGAAGGUUGGGUAACACUAACUGGAGGACCGAACCGACUAAUGUUGAAAAAUUAGCGGAUGACCUGUGGCUGGGGGUGAAAGGCCAAUCAAACCGGGAGAUAGCUGGUUCUCCCCGAAAGCUAUUUAGGUAGCGCCUCGUGAAUUCAUCUCCGGGGGUAGAGCACUGUUUCGGCUAGGGGGCCAUCCCGGCUUACCAACCCGAUGCAAACUGCGAAUACCGGAGAAUGUUAUCACGGGAGACACACGGCGGGUGCUAACGUCCGUCGUGAAGAGGGAAACAACCCAGACCGCCAGCUAAGGUCCCAAAGUCAUGGUUAAGUGGGAAACGAUGUGGGAAGGCCCAGACAGCCAGGAUGUUGGCUUAGAAGCAGCCAUCAUUUAAAGAAAGCGUAAUAGCUCACUGGUCGAGUCGGCCUGCGCGGAAGAUGUAACGGGGCUAAACCAUGCACCGAAGCUGCGGCAGCGACGCUGAUGCGUUGUUGGGUAGGGGAGCGUUCUGUAAGCCUGCGAAGGUGGCCUGUGAGGGUUGCUGGAGGUAUCAGAAGUGCGAAUGCUG